rnacentral:rRNA from 1 species
CGGGUCGUAAAGCUCUGUUGUACGGGGCGAAUGCCGGUAUGGCUAAUAUCCAUACCGAGUGACAGUACCGUAUAAGAAAGGACCGGCUAACUUCGUGC